UACGAAGGGGGCUAGCGUUGCUCGGAAUCACUGGGCGUAAAGGGUGCGUAGGCGGGUUAUUAAGUCAGUGGUGAAAGCUCCAUGCCUAACAUGGAAAUUGCCAUUGAUACUGAUGAUCUUGAGUACAUUUGAAGUGGGCGGAAUGUGUCAUGUAGCGGUGAAAUGCUUAGAUAUGACACAGAACACCGAUUGCGUAGGCAGCUCACUAAACUGUAACUGACGCUGAGGCACGAAAGCGUGGGGAGCAAACAGG
rnacentral:rRNA from 1 species